UAGGAAGGCAGCAGUGGGGAAUAUUGCACAAUGGGCGAAAGCCUGAUGCAGCUAUGCCGCGUGUAUGAAGAAGGCCUUAGGGUUGUAAAGUACUUUCAUCGGGGAGGAAAAACAAAACUAAUAAUUUUAUUUCUUGACGUUACCCGAAAAAGAAGCACCGGCUAACUCCGUGCCAGCAGCCGCGGUAAUACGGAGGGUGCUAGCGUUAAUCAGAAUUACUGGGCGUAAAGAGCACGUAGGUGGUUUUUUUAAGUCAGAUGUGAAAUCCCUGGGCUUAACCUAGGAACUGCAUUUUGAAACUGAAAUACUAGAGUAUCGUAGAGGGAGGUAGAAUUCUAGGUGUAGCGGUGAAAUGCGUAGAUAUCUGGAGGAAUACCUGUGGCGAAAGCGGCCUCCUAAACGAAUACUGACACUGAGGUGCGAAAGCGUGGGGAGCGAAACAGGGAUUAGAUACCCGU
rnacentral:rRNA from 1 species